AUUGAACGCUGGCGGCAGGCCUAACACAUGCAAGUCGAACGAGUGGCGGACGGGUGAGUAAUGUCUGGGAAACUGCCUGAUGGAGGGGGAUAACUACUGGAAACGGUAGCUAAUACCGCAUACCAUCGGAUGUGCCCAGAUGGGAUUAGCUAGUAGGUGGGGUAACGGCUCACCAAGGCGACGAUCCCUAGCUGGUCUGAGAGGACGACCAGCCACACUGGGACUGAGACACGGCCCAGACUCCUACGGGAGGCAGCAGUGGGGAAUUUUGGACAAUGGGCGCAAGCCUGAUGCAGCCAUCCCGCGUGUAUGAAGAAGGCCUUCGGGUUGUAAAGUACUUUCGGCAGAGAAGCGGUAUCUGCAGAAUAAGCACCGGCUAACUACGUGCCAGCAGCCGCGGUAAUAC
rnacentral:rRNA from 1 species